UAGGGAGCAAGCGUUGUCCGGAUUUAUUGGGCGUAAAGAGCUCGUAGGUGGUUCGGUAAGUCGGAUGUGAAAACUCAAGGCUCGACCUUGAGACGCCAUCCGAUACUGCUGUGACUUGAGUUCGGUAGAGGAGUGUGGAAUUCCUGGUGUAGCGGUGAAAUGCGCAGAUAUCAGGAGGAACACCAACAGCGAAGGCAGCACUCUGGGCCGAUACUGACACUGAGGAGCGAAAGCAUGGGGAGCAAACAGGAUUAGAUACCCUGGUAGUCCAUGCCGUAAACGUUGGGCACUAGGUGUGGGGAUUUAUCAACGAUCUCCGCGCCGUCGCUAACGCAUUAAGUGCCCCGCCUGGGGAGUACGGCCGCAAGGCUAAAACUCAAAGGAAUUGACGGGGGCCCGCACAAGCGGCGGAGCAUGUUGCUUAAUUCGAGGCAACGCGAAGAACCUUACCUGGGUUUGACAUUUAGGGAAAAGCCAUAGAGAUAUGGUGUCCUUCGGGGCCCUAAACAGGUGGUGCAUGGCUGUCGUCAGCUCGUGUCGUGAGAUGUUGGGUUAAGUCCCGCAACGAGCGCAACCCCUGUCCUAUGUUGCCAGCACGUAAAGGUGGGGACUCAUGGGAGACUGCCGGCGUCAAGUCGGAGGAAGGUGGGGACGACGUCAAGUCAUCAUGCCCCUUAUGUCCAGGGCUGCAAACAUGCUACAAUGGCCGGUACAACGGGCAGCGACACUGCGAAGUGAAGCGAAUCCCUUAAAGCCGGUCUCAGUUCGGAUUGAAGUCUGCAACUCGACUUCAUGAAGCUGGAGUCGCUAGUAAUCCCGGAUCAGCAACGCCGGGGUGAAUACGUUCCCGGGCCUUGUACACACCGCCCGUCACACCACGAAAGUCGGUAACACCCGAAGUCAGUGGCCCAACUCGUAAGAGGGGGAGCUGCCGAAGGUGGGAUCGGUGAUUGGGGUGAAGUCGUAACAAGGUAGCCGUACCGGAAGGUGCGGCUGGAUCACCUCCUUUCUAAGGAGAUCUACAGUUGUCAUUCACGACUUUGUGAGUGGUCAUACUGUGGUCAUCUAGUUGGUCGCUGGUUUUUCAACGUUUCUCUCCUUGCAGACAAUUGAUCUGUGAGUGCAUGUUCGUUGGAUUGUUCAAACUCUGAUUUGAUCCGCUUUUCUGUCUUCUGUUUUGAGAGGGCGUCGGUUCCAUUGUGUCUUUGUGGCAUGUGGGUUGGUUGCCUUUGUGGCUCUGUGGUGGCUUUGUGUCGUUGCAUCUACGAGAAUUUAAGUUGCCGCAUCCUCAAUUUGGGUGCGGUUUCUUGCGUUCCUUGGUCUUUGAGAAUUGAAUAGCGAGCACGAGCAUCUUUGACACUUCCUUACUCAAAUGAGGAGGUGUCUAGAUAAAUUGCAGCAUCACUCUCGGGUGGUGUUGCGCAAACUUUUAGUUUAAAUGAGUAUGGCCAGUCGUGAGACUGGUCUCUUAACUUGAUCUCUUUAAAAACACAGAGGUUCUCUGACGAUUUAAGGAUUUCGGAUUUCAAGCUACAAAGAGCCAACGGUGAAUGCCUUGGCACGUACUACCGAAGAAGGACGCGAUCGGCUGCGAUAAGCCACGGCGAGCUGCCUAAUAAGCUAUGACCCGUGGAUGU
rnacentral:sRNA from 1 species